rnacentral:rRNA from 1 species
CCUCCUUGUGUCCGCCGUGCGGCCUCUUGGUCCCUGGCCGCGCGUCUGCCCCAGCCAAGUAGCGUGAAGGAUGACUGCCCUAUGGGUUGUAAACUUCUUUUAUAUGGGAAUAAAACGUUCCACGUGUGGGCUUUUGUAUGUACUUUAUGAAUAAGGAUCGGCUAACUCCGUGCCAGCAGCCGCGGUAAUACGGAGGAUCCGAGCGUUAUCCGGAUUUAUUGGGUUUAAAGGGAGCGUAGAUGGGUUGUUAAGUCAGUUGUGAAAGUUUGCGGCUCAACCGUAAAAUUGCAAUUGAUACUGGCAGUCUUGAGUACAGUUGAGGUAGGCGGAAUUCGUGGUGUAGCGGUGAAAUGCUUAGAUAUCACGAAGAACUCCGAUUGCGAAGGCAGCUUACUAAACUGCCACUGACAUUGAUGCUCGAAAGUGUGGGUAUCAAACAGGAUUAGAUACCCGUGUAGUC